CUGGCGGCGUGCCUAAUACAUGCAAGUCGAACGGUCUUUCUAUGGAAGCUUGCUUCCACUGAGAAGAUAGUGGCGAACGGGUGAGUAACACGUGGGUAACCUGCCCAUAAGAGGGGGAUAACAUCCGGAAACGGGUGCUAAUACCGCAUAGUUUUCUUGAUCGCAUGAUCGGGAAAGGAAAGACGGCCUUUGUGCUGUCGCUUAUGGAUGGACCCGCGGCGUAUUAGUUAGUUGGUGAGGUAACGGCUCACCAAGACGAUGAUACGUAGCCGACCUGAGAGGGUGAUCGGCCACAUUGGGACUGAGACACGGCCCAAACUCCUACGGGAGGCAGCAGUAGGGAAUCUUCCGCAAUGGACGAAAGUCUGACGGAGCAACGCCGCGUGAGUGAAGAAGGUUUUCGGAAUCGUAAAACUCUGUUGUCAGAGAAGAACAAGUUGGAGAGCAACUGCUCCAGCCUUGACGGUAUCUGACCAGAAAGCCACGGCUAACUACGUGCCAGCAGCAGC
rnacentral:rRNA from 1 species